GGACACCUGAGAUGCCACUCAUCUGCAAUUUUGAACCUACAAUUACUUUAAACGGGAAUCUUAUAUUGCUGUGUAGAUGUCAGGCCUUCCGUGCGGGUCCUUCGAUCCGUACAGGCAGAGGAAGACUGAAGCAUAUGCUGCGGACACCCACCUGGCAUGCGUGCUAGGAGUCAAAAUGCAGGUUCGGCGUUUCAGGUCUUUU
rnacentral:other from 1 species